CAAGUUUGCUUUAAUCAAGAAGUUGCUAAGAACAGAACACUGGGAAGGAUGAGGAGGUUACAAUGAUCACAUACUGAACUGGAGUCAACAAUAUACUCCCUGGAGAAAACCAACACAGAGGAAACAUAUUGCAUUGGGAAGUCUCAGCAGGUGGUUAUUAACAUCCUGCAGCGAGUCAUCACUUGAGCCUGAAGUUUGUGUGGAUGAAAUAAGGAGUAUAUGAAACUGGAUGAAAUUAAGUUCUCCAUCUAUUCAUUUGGGACCCUGAUGAAUGA
rnacentral:lncRNA from 1 species